rnacentral:piRNA from 1 species
CACGCUGUAAAUGACGAUAAACC